rnacentral:misc_RNA from 1 species
UCCGGCCUUAAGCCGGCAGUCCUGUAUGACACGAGUAACAUACAGCAAGGGUUGCGCUCGUUACCGGACUUAACCGGACAUCUCACGACACGAGCUGACGACAGCCAUGCAGCACCUGUUCAGGCUCCCCGAAGGGUCGGUCUCCUUUCGGUUCCCUACCACCUGAAUGUCAAACCCGGGUAAGGUUCUUCGCGUAGCAUCGAAUUAAACCACACGCUCCGCUGCUUGUGCGGGCCCCCGCCAAUUCCUUUGAGUUUUAACCUUGCGGCCGUAGUCCCCAGGCGGUGGACUUAUCGCGUUGGCUGCGGCACGGAUGGCUUUUACCCCACCCACGCCAAGUCCACAUCGUUUACGGCUAGGACUAC